rnacentral:pre_miRNA from 1 species
AAUAACCUCAUUUUUCGUUUUUCCGUGUCCAACGUUUGACCAUUUGUCUUAUUUGAAAUUUUUUUACGAUUAAUAUUUUUAUUCUUACUGGAUGAUAAAAUAUAAAUAGUACUUUAUACGUGACUAAUUUUUUUAGUUUUUUAUAAAUUUUUUAAAUAAGACGAAUAAUCAAAUGUUAGACACGGAAAAAC